GAGGAAUAUUGGUCAAUGGACGAGAGUCUGAACCAGCCAAGUAGCGUGAAGGAUGACUGCCCUAUGGGUUGUAAACUUCUUUUAUACGGGAAUAAAGUUAGCCACGUGUGGCUUUUUGUAUGUACCGUAUGAAUAAGGAUCGGCUAAUUCCGUGCCAGCAGCCGCGGUAAUACGGAGGAUCCGAGCGUUAUCCGGAUUUAUUGGGUUUAAAGGGAGCGUAGGCGGGUUGUUAAGUCAGUUGUGAAAGUUUGCGGCUCAACCGUAAAAUUGCAGUUGAUACUGGCGACCUUGAGUGCAACAGAGGUAGGCGGAAUUCGUGGUGUAGCGGUGAAAUGCUUAGAUAUCACGAAGAACUCCGAUUGCGAAGGCAGCUUACUGGAUUGUAACUGACGCUGAUGCUCGAAAGUGUGGGUAUCAAACAGGAUUAGAUACCCUGGUAGUCCACACAGUAAACGAUGAAUACUCGCUGUUGGCGAUAUACGGUCAGCGGCCAAGCGAAAGCAUUAAGUAUUCCACCUGGGGAGUACGCCGGCAACGGUGAAACUCAAAGGAAUUGACGGGGGCCCGCACAAGCGGAGGAACAUGUGGUUUAAUUCGAUGAUACGCGAGGAACCUUACCCGGGCUUAAAUUGCAACUGACUGAACCGGAAACGGUUCUUUCUUCGGACAGUUGUGAAGGUGCUGCAUGGUUGUCGUCAGCUCGUGCCGUGAGGUGUCGGCUUAAGUGCCAUAACGAGCGCAACCCUUAUCGAUAGUUACUAGCAGGUCAUGCUGAGGACUCUAUUGAGACUGCCGUCGUAAGAUGUGAGGAAGGUGGGGAUGACGUCAAAUCAGCACGGCCCUUACGUCCGGGGCUACACACGUGUUACAAUGGGGGGUACAGAAGGCAGCUACACGGCGACGUGGUGCUAAUCCCGAAAGCCUCUCUCAGUUCGGAUUGGAGUCUGCAACCCGACUCCAUGAAGCUGGAUUCGCUAGUAAUCGCGCAUCAGCCACGGCGCGGUGAAUACGUUCCCG
rnacentral:rRNA from 1 species